rnacentral:tRNA from 1 species
GNNUCCGUAGCUCAGUUGGUUAGAGUGCUACGCUCACAUCGUAGAGGCCACAGGUUCAAGUCCUGUCGGACCCA